rnacentral:tRNA from 1 species
AGAAGAGUAGCUUAAUUGGUAGAGCAUCAGUUUCCAAAACUGACGGUUGCAGGUUCAAGUCCUGUCUUUUCUG